AAACUUGAGCUACAUACAUUGGUCUUCUAAACGAAUUUUAUCUGCUAGAUUCAUUCCGCCUCAAUAAUUCCAACCAAAGUUUCCCUGCUCAUUCUAUAUUUCCUCCCUUGCUCCUGAUCUUGCUUCAUGAGCCUCUCGGGAUGGAUCAACUAUGCAUAGAUAGCCGCCGCCUCCUCAAGCUACGCCUUCAGUGGUCAGAGAGGGCGAGCGGCUACUCCCUCAAGUAGCCAAGCGCCGCCCGCGGCCCCCGCAUGCAAUCCAUUUCCUCAAGUGACAGGCAUUUAGCAAUUCACUAUGUCAUGUUAGAGCAAAAUAACUUUGAUCAUUUGGAUGUCUGAAACAUAACAAGGUGCUUUCAAAAUUUUUCUCAAGAAUAAACAUUUUAAUUUCUUGUAGUGUUGUUUUUUUUUUUAAUGUGUACAUGUUUGUAUUGUUCAUAUUACUUGUUCCUUCAUUGGAGUACCUAUGCACAUUGUUUAUUAUGUUAUGCUUAUUUUCUAUGUUGUUGUCAAGGUUGUAUAAUGUAUUAGUUUUGGACAACCGACCUUUCUCUCUCUCUAUAUAUAUAUAUAGAAAAGGUUUAUAUAAGGUUGCAAUCUUAAAAUGUAGAAUUAUAGAUGUACCUCAAAAAUCCAUCGAAAAAUGUUGUUUUAAUGUUGAAAAACCCUCUAAUUGAUCAUCUCAACAUCGCGAUGUAUGAAUAUGAAAGAAAAAAGGUUUUGAGUCCCAGAAACAGUGCAUCUUGCAACACAUUAUCUGGAUCGUCCAAUUUCAAGAUUUUCAUAUGUUUAUAGAUCUACUUGAUUUUACCUAUUUUUGGAGUUUAAAAUUUUAUAAUUAGAUAUGAAAAUAGAUUUUGAGAUAAUCCUACGAAUAUUUUAUACUAAAAUUGCACAUUAUGAUAGAAUUUGGAGGUGCACCUUAUUUGGAUUGUUUAAGGUUGCAACCUCAUGGAAACCACACACACACACACACACACACACACACAUAUAUAUAUAUAUAUCUAAAGAGACAACAAAACGGCUAUGGGAAAAAAUGAACAGUAUUUUCGUUCAUAGGCUCGGUGCCGUCCGAUUUUUUUGGACGGCGUGGAUUAAAUACUGUCACGGAUAUAGGAUGUCAGUGACAAGAUUUUUUUUUCACGCAAAUUUGGCGCAAAAAAUAUAUAGGGACCCACGGCCCCUGUAGAUCCGUGUCGGUUUUUAGGCAAAACCGUCACGGAUAUGGCAUGUUUGUGACGAGGGCGAAACACUGUUGCAAUUCGUCUAUAGGGGUUUUUAAUACUUUUCCUAUAUAUAAAAACUAUACGGGGACCGCCAAGCCGUAGGUCCGUGGCAUUUUUUAGGAAAAACUGUUACGGAUAUAUAGAAAAAGUCCUAAAAAUGUACAUAAGCGAAUUCUAUAAUGUUUCGCCCCCAUCACAAACAUGCUAUAUCCGUGACGGUUUUGUCUAAAAUCCACGGACCUACGGGGGCCGUGGCGGUCCUCGUAUAUUUAUAUUUUUUGCGUCAAAUUUGCGUGAAAAAAAUCCCGUCACAGACAUGCUAUAUCCGUGACGGACUACCAUGGAAAUGCUACGUCCGUGACGGUCUUUAAUCCACGCCGUCUAACAAGUCUAUGGGCGAAAAUACUGUUCAUUUUCGCUCAUAGGCGUUACGCCCAUGUGCGUACUGCUACAGUAAAUACCAACGGCCCAGAUCGAAUCUGGGCUUAUCUGACAGUCACGGUUGUCCAAGAGCAUUUGAAUUUUAAUUUUUUUUCUACAAAUCAAAAUGAUUUGAAAUUUGGAACCUGUGUACAUCUUAGUGAGACGCACCUAAUAAAAAUAUAAAAACAAUAAUUCGUGAAAAAAAAUUGACCAAAAUACCUCUAAAACUUUUCAGGGGUAUUUUGGUCAAUUUAAUUCAUGUAAAAUAUUUUUUUAAUAUUUUUCAUAGAUUCGCCUAUUUUUGAUGAAUACACACUCUAAAUUCAGAUCAUUUCAAUUUGUAGAAAAAAAUAAAAAAUAAAAUACUAUUGGAUAUCCGUGAUCAUCAGAUCGACAUUUACUGUAGCGGUAUACGAAUCGGUGUACCAUAGCAUCUUCCAUAUAUAUAUAUAUAUAUAUAUAUAUAUAUAUACUACUUUAACUAAGUAUAACUAACUACUACUACUACUAACUACUACUAUAAUUAAAAUUAAAUUAAAAAUACGUAGUAAGUAAAUAAAUAAUAAGUAAAGUAGUNNNNNNNNNNNNNNNNNNNNGUACGUACUACUACGUACAGAUACGUACGACUUACUUUACGUUGUACGGUACGGUACGUAACGACGUCGUACGUACUAGCUAUCUUCUAUAUAUAUAUAUAUAUAUAUAUAUAUAUAUAUACACUUUUAUAAACAGAUUAAACUAUCAUUCUAACAUAUCCAUAAUAAAUUAAAAUGGCUAGAAUAAUAAAUAUUGAAAAUGGUGCAAUAUCUACUAAAAUCCAAGUAGUAUAAGUAUUCUGAUAAAACUUUAUACUAAAAAUUGCUUUUAGUUGCAUUAGUAUAACAAUUUAUUUUAUUCAUAACAAACUUUAAUCAUAAACAGACUUUAUUCAAACUUUAAUCACAAACAAACUGUAUACAACAGACUGUUUACAUUAUACAGACUGCAAACAAAGACUAACAAACUGUAGACUGUAUUCAUAACAAUUAACGGACUGUAUACAUAAUCAAACUGUAAAACAGACUUACAGAUUACUCAUAAAGGAAAAAGAUCUUACAACUUACGGAUGCAAUAGCUGCAGAAAGCUUUCCACUCAAACGGACAAUAACUAGGUAGACUGUCUUGAUUACAAGCACACAUUUACACUCUAAGAAAUAGAAAGAAGGAAGAUAGAGAGAAGGAAGGAAGAUAGGCUCUAAGAUUCUGAGCUUCUG
rnacentral:lncRNA from 1 species